AUGAAGAAAAGAAGAAGAAGAGAAGAAAAAGAUGGCUCGUACCAAGCAAACUGCCCGUAAGUCCACUGGAGGAAAGGCUCCAAGGAAGCAACUAGCCACCAAGGCCGCCAGGAAAUCUGCCCCAACAACUGGAGGAGUCAAGAAGCCUCACAGAUACAGGCCUGGAACCGUUGCUCUUCGUGAAAUCCGCAAGUACCAGAAGAGUACUGAGCUAUUGAUCAGGAAGUUGCCAUUCCAGAGGCUUGUUCGUGAAAUUGCUCAGGACUUCAAGACUGAUUUGCGUUUCCAGAGCCAUGCUGUGUUGGCUUUGCAAGAGGCAGCUGAGGCUUACCUUGUUGGGCUUUUUGAAGAUACAAAUCUGUGUGCUAUUCACGCCAAGCGUGUCACAAUCAUGCCCAAGGACAUUCAGCUUGCUAGAAGGAUUAGGGGUGAAAGGGCUUAGAAUGCCUAGCUUUGUCGUUACUUAGAUUGCUAAAGCCUCUUUUGCAAUUCUGUUUUUUUCUCUGUUCUUUAGGAUAGUCGUAUUGGAUAGGAUAAUAGAUAUGGAUGGUUGUGGAUUACUGGGUAUUUGACAAUAUAUAGUCCAUUUUAUUCGUAUUCUCUUUACAAGAUACAUUCAAUGUUCAUCCUGAUCAUGUUUUCAGCAAGUUGUUUGAAA
rnacentral:misc_RNA from 1 species